UACGUAGGGUGCAAGCGUUGUCCGGAAUUAUUGGGCGUAAAGGGCGCGUAGGCGGUGCGGUAAGUCACCUGUGAAAUCUCUGGGCUCAACUCAGAGUCUGCUGUGGAAACUGCCGUGCUUGAGUGUGGGAGAGGUGAGUGGAAUUCCCGGUGUAGCGGUGAAAUGCGUAGAUAUCAGGAGGAACACCUGUGGUGUAGACGGCUUACGUGGACCAUAA
rnacentral:rRNA from 1 species